rnacentral:rRNA from 1 species
UCCCCUAGUAACUGCGAGUGAAGCGGGAAAAGCUCAAAUUUAAAAUCUGAGGGUCCUUGUGGCCUUCCGAGUUGUAAUCUAGAGAAGUGCUAUCCGCGCUGGACCGUGUACAAGUCUCCUGGAACGGAGCGUCAUAGAGGGUGAGAAUCCCGUCUUUGACACGGACUACCAGGGCUUUGUGAUGCGCUCUCAAAGAGUCGAGUUGUUUGGGAAUGCAGCUCUAAAUGGGUGGUAAAUUCCAUCUAAAGCUAAAUAUUGGCGAGAGACCGAUAGCGAACAAGUACCGUGAGGGAAAGAUGAAAAGAACUUUGGAAAGAGAGUUAAACAGUACGUGAAAUUGUUGAAAGGGAAACGCUUGAAGUCAGUCGCGUUGGCCAGGAAUCAACCUUGCUUUUGCUUGGCGUACUUUCUGGUUGACGGGUCAGCAUCAAUUUUGACCGGUGGAUAAAGGUUAGGGGAAUGUGGCAUCCUCGGAUGUGUUAUAGCCUCUUGUCGCAUACAUCGGUUGGGAUUGAGGAACUCAGCACGCCGCAAGGCCGGGUUUUAACCACGUACGUGCUUAGGAUGCUGGCAUAAUGGCUUUAAUCGACCCGUCUUGAAACACGGACCAAGGAGUCUAACAUGCACGCGAGUGUUUGGGUGGAAAACCCGAGCGCGUAAUGAAAGUGAAAAUUGAGAUCCCUGUCGUGGGGAGCAUCGAUGCCUGGACUUGAUCUUUUGUGACGGUUCCACGGUUGAGCGUGUAUGCUGGGACCCGAAAGAUGGUGAACUAUGCCUGAAUAGGGUGAAGCCAGAGGAAACUCUGGUGGAGGCUCGUAGCGAUUCUGACGUGCAAAUCGAUCGUCAAAUUUGGGUAUAGGGGCGAAAGACUAAUCGAACCAUCUAGUAGCUGGU